rnacentral:lncRNA from 1 species
GGCGUGUGAGUUUCUAAUUGCCUCAGUGCUUAUCCAAAUGGCUAAUGAUUUUAAAAACUAAACACUAAAGGCAUUUGUUAAUUGCUUAUAUAAUCUGUCAUUAUCAUAACUAGAGAUUUUUUCCGCGCUUCACGCGGAUUGUGCCUUAUAAAUUUAUUUUAUUUAUAAUAUUAUUUGUCGGUUUGUUUCUUUUACAUUAAUUUUUUGUUUUUCCAAUGUUAGUUUUUCUUAAUUUAAAUUUAUAUGUUUAUAGUUUUUCUUUUUUCUGGUUGUAGAUGGAGAAUUAUAUUUUUUAUUGAUAGUUUUUGAAUGUGACAUAAACUUUUUGAAAUUUUAAAAUAAUGUUAUAUAUAGUACAAUUAACACAUUAAAGAAGAGAAACAUAUUU